AACCAGCAGCAGCCAAACGAACCCUAAAGCCCUCUUCAAUCAAGACAUAACCCAGAUGCUUUUGGCCAUUUUUGGCUAAAUCUCAGAGGCCUUUCGCGUACUUAGUCGAUGCCUCAUCUUAUCCGGGCAAAAUGGUUAUUGUAUUUGUCUCCAACGGUAACCUACGCCCCAUUUCCAAAAAGAGUUUUCCCAUUCUUGCCCAAGGACAUGCAACAAUUGUCAAAGCCAUAAGUGGUCGAGCAUUUUCGGAGUCUGUCGUGUUCGAGUGGAUAUCGAAACCCCCGCGCCUUACUUCGCUGCACCCGAAGAAGGUUUAUCAUAUUAAUUGUGGAAGUUCUUGGCUGGACUGAGCUCUUGAACGACGUAAGGUACAGAUGCUCAUGUUGGUAACCCGCCAGCUUAGGAGUCCUAUUCAGCUAUCUUGGAGAGCUCCCUUGUUCCGGAGCCUAGAUUUUGGUACAGAAUCUCUUGUGGUGUAUAUAUGUUUUUGUCCAGGGGUACGACGGGGCCCUGUCCCGUCAUAUGUUACUGUUGAUACUCUUAGAGGUAUGUAGACAUGUAUGUGGGUUGUGUACAGGUUUGAUCAGCUGUGUCCAUAUGGUUAUUGCGGAUGUUCUGUCGUGGUAGCAGCCUUGCCGUCUUGCAUAUGUUAUCGUUUCGUAGUGGCAGCCUUGUCGGUUUGCGUAGUAUAAUGAUAUAUAUAUACAGUGGCAGCCUCGUCGGCUUGUGGAUGUUAUUUCGAUAUGAUUGAUUGAGGACCUAUAGUAUCAGUCCGGUUAUGUUGACAGGUGCAUGUGGGUGUCCAGCUCGGGCACUAGUCAUGGCUCACGGGGCUGGGUCGUGACAAAAGUGGUAUCAGAGCAGUUCAUCCUCAGAGUGUCUACAGAUCGUGUCUAGUAGAGUCUUGUUUAUCGGCGUGUUGUGCACCACAUCUACAAACAGGAAGCUACAGGACAUUUAGGAUGUUACUUUUCUUUCAUAUCUAAGAUCGUGCGAUAGAGC